UAGACGGAUAGUAAAAUGCCCGAUGCUCAGGCAGCCCACGAGCUCACCUUAACGGCCCUUUUCCCGGCGUUGGCAGGUGCCAACCUGAUUUACGGCCUUG
rfam:Desulfobacteraceae bacterium 4572_123 ex4572_123_scaffold_7401, whole genome shotgun sequence.